ACUCCUACGGGAGGCAGCAGUGGGGAAUUUUGGACAAUGGGCGAAAGCCUGAUCCAGCCAUGCCGCGUGCAGGAUGAAGGCCUUCGGGUUGUAAACUGCUUUUGUACGGAACGAAACGGCCUUUUCUAAUAAAGAGGGCUAAUGACGGUACCGUAAGAAUAAGCACCGGCUAACUACGUGCCAGCAGCCGCGGUAAUACGUAGGGUGCAAGCGUUAAUCGGAAUUACUGGGCGUAAAGCGUGCGCAGGCGGUUAUGUAAGACAGUUGUGAAAUCCCCGGGCUCAACCUGGGAACUGCAUCUGUGACUGCAUAGCUAGAGUACGGUAGAGGGGGAUGGAAUUCCGCGUGUAGCAGUGAAAUGCGUAGAUAUGCGGAGGAACACCGAUGGCGAAGGCAAUCCCCUGGACCUGUACUGACGCUCAUGCACGAAAGCGUGGGGAGCAAACAGGAUUAGAUACCCCGGUAGUCCCAUG
rnacentral:rRNA from 1 species